rnacentral:rRNA from 1 species
AACGAACGCUGGCGGCAUGCCUAACACAUGCAAGUCGAACGAAGCCUUCGGGCUUAGUGGCGCACGGGUGCGUAACGCGUGGGAAUCUGCCCCUCGGUUCGGAAUAACAGUUAGAAAUGACUGCUAAUACCGGAUGAUGACGAAAGUCCAAAGAUUUAUCGCCGAGGGAUGAGCCCGCGUAGGAUUAGCUUGUUGGUGGGGUAAUGGCCCACCAAGGCGACGAUCCUUAGCUGGUCUGAGAGGAUGAUCAGCCACACUGGGACUGAGACACGGCCCAGACUCCUACGGGAGGCAGCAGUGGGGAAUAUUGGACAAUGGGCGAAAGCCUGAUCCAGCAAUGCCGCGUGAGUGAUGAAGGCCUUAGGGUUGUAAAGCUCUUUUACCAGGGAUGAUAAUGACAGUACCUGGAGAAUAAGCUCCGGCUAACUCCGUGCCAGCAGCCGCGGUAAUGUCUGUACU